CAAACUGGAAUGGUAGAGUCAUGUGGCCAGGCUGGCUCCUCAAAAGACCCCAGAAGGGGUGAGCCAAGCCUGGCCAAACAUGUCCUUCUUAAAAAUUCACCCAAUCAGCAAGUCAUUUCUCUCAUGGGGUAGAGUGAGGAGUGAAAAGAGGCAGACAGCGAUCCUAUUCUAUUCAUCUCUCCAAGGAAAACAUGAGGAGAGAAAUACCAUUGUAAUUACCAAAUAAAACCACAUCUACAAAAGCGAGGUAGAAAGAUAAGGAUAAACACAACUUCGAAUUUAGGAAUAUGAUCCAGAGCCUGAUGAAACCCUUCACUAUGACCUAGUAAGUCACAAUUUUCUACCUAUCAUGCUUAAUUUGAAGGACUUUGUUACUGUAUAGUACAUAUGAAGCAGGAGUUUCAUAUGUUUUUAUCUAGAUAUAUGAAUAGGUGUGUGCAUGAAUGUGUAUGUAAAUUACCUGUUCAUGGCAGCAUAUGCAUAUAUAAAUGUGAUGCCUGUGCUUUCCUAACAUAAAUAUUUCAUAGGUUUCUGUUAUGAGGUUUGAGAAUGGAGGUUUGGACCCCUGUGUGUUGCCUUUGAGCUACCUCUCACAUGUACUUUGCACAUUAAACAUGUAUGCGUGCUUCUUUAUAGCUCUAUAAUUGUCACAUCUACAUAAUAUAUGUGCUGAAUAGACAAAGAGCUUCUUUUCCUUUUGAAUUAAAAUUUCAAAAAUACUAAUCCAUCUUCAGAAGCAAAAACACUGAUCAAAGCAUGCAAUAAGAUACUCAUUAACACCGAGCAAUGAAAAACCGGUUGUAAUUAUGCAAUAAGUUCUGGUGGUGGGCACAGAGAACUAUGCAAUAGGCUUUACAAGUCAUAACUCCACCUCAGCACAUCUGACCAGCAGCCAGACCCUACCCUGGGUCUCUUGUAAUUAUCCAACAUCCCAGGAAUGUUGUGCAAAUUAGUUUCUGAGAAACAUUUUUAAAAGAUCAUACGAGUAGAUAAGGAGCAAAACAGAAGAUCUUUACUAUCCCAUUGUAUUUUGUGUUUAAUAAACACUUACAUAGUACCAAUCAGAUAUUGUUCUAGGAUCUUGAAAUAGAUUAGCUCAUCUAGCCCUCAUAGCAAUUCAGUAAGAUAGAAACUACUAUUAUUCCCGUAUUGUCCGUUGGGUUGGGGGAUAUUGAGGCAUAGCAAAGUUAAGCAGGUUGUCUAAGGUCAGCCAGCUGAGACUUGAGUGUUGGCAAGGCUGGUGCUAAGGGGGGUCAUGCACACAAUCACCCUACGUCCCUCUUUCCAGCCUGAACAUAUGAUACCCAAUAGCAUUCUAGUCCCAGUGAUCCUACUGCUCCUUUAACCUGCUGGAGCUUCCAGUCUCCCUCUUUAAAAGAAGAUUAAUUUAUAACUAUUAUUUACUAAACCCAUUCCAGUAGAUGAGAACAAAUGAAAUGGUCUUUGAGUUUCUCAAAGUAUUUAUCCUGAUUCAACAUCGAAUUUUGUCUGCAAGUUUUUUGAAUAUUUUAAGCUAAACCUAUCAAUUGGUUGAAAAUUUAUAAACAAAUUCUAACUUUGUUAUGCUAUUUCAGUUGUUGCAAGUAAGAUUUGAGGCAAAUUGAAUGAGUUGAUGCAUGCAACAUGAAAAGGCUUUGAUAGCUUCCAACCAUGAAGCUCUAACCCCCCGAGUAUUUGCUCUUGCAAAUUGCUUCCUCCAUGUGCUCGCAGAUGCCCUCUUAGUAGUCUAGUUCCUGAAAUGAAUCCAUCUUCUCAGUUGUGUUCCUAGGUCCAGACCUUAAACCCUGGCCACAAUUAUGAACACUAAUUGGUAAGCUCAGCAGAGAGGCUAAGGGUUGAACAGGCACCAAGAACAAAAGUAGGUUCUCUCCUUAGAGCUGUGUAAAUGAAAAGGGUGGGAAAGGUCAGCCUGCUGCUGCCUGCACUGAAUCCACUCUGAAAGAGAGGACUUCAUUCUGGCAUAUCUCCCAGCAAACAAAAUAGAAAAGAAAUCCCACAAGGCAAAAUUUUUUCUUUGGAUUUUGUCAGAUGAUACAGAUCUUAUAGAAAAGCACACACAAAAGAAACCAAUCUACCCCAUAGCUUUUGAGACAAAAUGAGAUUAUAUUUAGACAAUGGCUUUGGGUUCUACAAACUGUCUGAGGAGCUCCUGCCCUGUGACUUUGCUUUACUGAGAGCUUAUUGUUGAACCCAGCCAGCAACUCACUCCAGGAUCCUAGGGUGGUCUGGCAGGCAUGGUUCUAGGGCAUCCUGUGCCCAUCGUGCCAAGGACGCAAGGACAGGAAGGCAGGAGCAGGAUUCUCCAGAUAUGAAUAAACAGAGGGGAGGCUUUCAAUGACUUCGAUGGGAAAAAUAUCCCACACAACUUUUCUUUUGAAGUGGCAGUGACAUUAUGAAAUGAAUAGUUUUUCCUCUCAGCACAAAAUGGGAGCAAUUUCCCUGGGGCAUUUUUGCUCAGGUUUUUGACCAACAGGAAUGCAAGGUCUGGAUUUAGGUGGAAGUAGAAAAGUACUUAAAUGUCUAAUGGAUUCUGUUAAAAAUUCGUAUAGUUUGAUUUCUGAAAUUUUCCAAAUGAUAAUCAUGAAUGGAUUUUCCCGCUAUCCAGAGGAGUUCUAGGUGUAAGAAGUUUGAUAACUGGCCCAUGGCAAAAUAGUUUAAAACAGCCCAAAUCCUUUCAUCAAAUGACCAAAUUAAAUGAUUAUAUUGAGCAUAGGGUCAUUUAACUCAAUCAUAAUAUUCAGAUACAUAGAAAACACU
rnacentral:lncRNA from 1 species